CACUUACACUUCUUUCUUUUCAACGUGGACUGCUUAAAUACCAUUCCAAAAACUUCGCAACGCUUGUUUCGUGCAAAGAAAAGACUUAGUUUACAAGAAAAUUCCAUCUGAAGGGUUCGAGUACCUUUAUGGCAAUUGAAAUCUCCCGCCACAUCAGCCGGGGAGCGGUGA
rnacentral:lncRNA from 1 species